rnacentral:rRNA from 1 species
GACGAACGCUGGCGGCGUGCUUAACACAUGCAAGUCGAACGGAAAGGCCCUGCUUUUGUGGGGUGCUCGAGUGGCGAACGGGUGAGUAACACGUGAGUAACCUGCCCUUGACUUUGGGAUAACUUCAGGAAACUGGGGCUAAUACCGGAUAGGAGCUCCUGCUGCAUGGUGGGGGUUGGAAAGUUUCGGCGGUUGGGGAUGGACUCGCGGCUUAUCAGCUUGUUGGUGGGGUAGUGGCUUACCAAGGCUUUGACGGGUAGCCGGCCUGAGAGGGUGACCGGCCACAUUGGGACUGAGAUACGGCCCAGACUCCUACGGGAGGCAGCAGUGGGGAAUAUUGCACAAUGGGCGGAAGCCUGAUGCAGCAACGCCGCGUGCGGGAUGACGGCCUUCGGGUUGUAAACCGCUUUCGCCUGUGACGAAGCGUGAGUGACGGUAAUGGGUAAAGAAGCACCGGCUAACUACGUGCCAGCAGCCGCGGUGAUACGUAGGGUGCGAGCGUUGUCCGGAUUUAUUGGGCGUAAAGGGCUCGUAGGUGGUUGAUCGCGUCGGAAGUGUAAUCUUGGGGCUUAACCCUGAGCGUGCUUUCGAUACGGGUUGACUUGAGGAAGGUAGGGGAGAAUGGAAUUCCUGGUGGAGCGGUGGAAUGCGCAGAUAUCAGGAGGAACACCAGUGGCGAAGGCGGUUCUCUGGGCCUUUCCUGGCGCUGAGGAGCGAAAGCGUGGGGAGCGAACAGGCUUAGAUACCCUGGUAGUCCACGCUGUAAACGGUGGGUACUAGGUGUGGGGUCCAUUCCACGGGUUCCGUGCCGUAGCUAACGCUUUAAGUACCCCGCCUGGGGAGUACGGCCGCAAGGCUAAAACUCAAAGGAAUUGACGGGGCCCCGCACGAGCGGCGGAGCAUGCGGAUUAAUUCGAUGCAACGCGUAGAACCUUACCUGGGUUUGACAUGGAUCGGGAGUGCUCAGAGAUGGGUGUGCCUCUUUUGGGGUCGGUUCACAGGUGGUGCAUGCCUGUCGUCAGCUCGUGUCGUGAGAUGUUGGGUUAAGUCCCGCAACGAGCGCAACCCUUGUUCACUGUUGCCAGCACGUUAUGGUGGGGACUCAGUGGAGACCGCCGGGGUCAACUCGGAGGAAGGUGGGGAUGACGUCAAGUCAUCAUGCCCCUUAUGUCCAGGGCUUCACGCAUGCUACAAUGGCUGGUACAGAGAGUGGCGAGCCUGUGAGGGUGAGCGAAUCUCGGAAAGCCAGUCUCAGUUCGGAUUGGGGUCUGCAACUCGACCUCAUGAAGUCGGAGUCGCUAGUAAUCGCAGAUCAGCAACGCUGCGGUGAAUAAGAUCCCGGG